rnacentral:rRNA from 1 species
AACGUAGGAGGCGAGCGUUAUCCGGAUUUACUGGGCGUAAAGCGCGUGUAGGCGGAUUGGUAAGUUGGCUGUGAAAGCUCCUGGCUUAACUGGGAGAGGUCGGUCAAUACUGUCAGGCUUGAGUCCGGGAGAGGAAGGUGGAAUUCCCAGUGUAGAGGUGAAAUGCGCAGAUAUCAGGAGGAGCACCGAUGGCGAAGGCAGGUCUCUGGGCCGCAACUGACGCUGAGGAG